UGAGGAAUAUUGGUCAAUGGGCGAGAGCCUGAACCAGCCAAGUAGCGUGAAGGAUGACUGCCCUAUGGGUUGUAAACUUCUUUUAUAAAGGAAUAAAGUCGGGUAUGGAUACCCGUUUGCAUGUACUUUAUGAAUAAGGAUCGGCUAACUCCGUGCCAGCAGCCGCGGUAAUACGGAGGAUCCGAGCGUUAUCCGGAUUUAUUGGGUUUAAAGGGAGCGUAGAUGGAUGUUUAAGUCAGUUGUGAAAGUUUGCGGCUCAACCGUAAAAUUGCAGUUGAUACUGGAUAUCUUGAGUGCAGUUGAGGCAGGCGGAAUUCGUGGUGUAGCGGUGAAAUGCUUAGAUAUCACGAAGAACUCCGAUUGCGAAGGCAGCCUGCUAAGCUGCAACUGACAUUGAGGCUCGAAAGUGUGGGUAUCAAACAGGAUUAGAUACCCUGGUAGUCCACACGGUAAACGAUGAAUACUCGCUGUUUGCGAUAUACAGCAAGCGGCCAAGCGAAAGCGUUAAGUAUUCCACCUGGGGAGUACGCCGGCAACGGUGAAACUCAAAGGAAUUGACGGGGGCCCGCACAAGCGGAGGAACAUGUGGUUUAAUUCGAUGAUACGCGAGGAACCUUACCCGGGCUUAAAUUGCAGAUGAAUUACGGUGAAAGCCGUAAGCCGCAAGGCAUCUGUGAAGGUGCUGCAUGGUUGUCGUCAGCUCGUGCCGUGAGGUGUCGGCUUAAGUGCCAUAACGAGCGCAACCCUUGUUGUCAGUUACUAACAGGUUCCGCUGAGGACUCUGACAAGACUGCCAUCGUAAGAUGUGAGGAAGGUGGGGAUGACGUCAAAUCAGCACGGCCCUUACGUCCGGGGCUACACACGUGUUACAAUGGGGGGUACAGAGGGCCGCUACCACGCGAGUGGAUGCCAAUCCCAAAAACCUCUCUCAGUUCGGACUGGAGUCUGCAACCCGACUCCACGAAGCUGGAUUCGCUAGUAAUCGCGCAUCAGCCACGGCGCGGUGAAUACGUUCCC
rnacentral:rRNA from 1 species